rnacentral:lncRNA from 10 species
UUUUGUAGUUGUUUCUUCAUGCUUUCUUUUUUAGCUGUAACCACUGUCAGUAUGCUUGUAGGACAAUAACAUAGGCAGUUCAAGAUUCGGAUUCUGAAAAAUGUAAAAUAUACAGAUUUAAAAGGCUUAUUUUAAUAAUGUGAAACCAUCUGUUAAGCAUUUUCAGAAAUAAGUAGUAAAUUUUGUUAUGAGAGUAAAGCAACUGUCUUAACAAAGUGCCAAGUUUUAUUCACAUGCAGGGGAAAAAAAGAGUGACACUAUAACCAGAUUUUAAUCCUUUCUUCAUUUGUCAGCUGAAUAGAUUCAGGCUUGCUUUUUGCUUUUGGAUUGUUCCAGGGUUCUCCUAAUACUUUCUACCUCUGGGAUUAUUUACCAUAGCAGAGGUUUAGCUUGCUGUGAUCCCUUCUCCUCUAGGCUGGGAGGUCCUUGAAAACAGGAACAUUUUAUUUACCUUCUAUCUCCAGCAGCUAGUAAUAGUGUCUGGCACACAGCAGAUACUCAGGAAAUGUUUGAUGAAUGAUUAGAUUGCUGUUUUUCUUGAUGUGUUAAUUUUGACAGAGGAAGUCUGAAGAUAUAUUCAGCUUUGGAAGAUUAUUGUGAAAAUAUUCUUCCUUUUUACUGAAAGAAGCAUAUUUCCCCCCUACAAUAUGGAAGUUAAUUUUCCUUUUGGUAGAUCAUGUAUCUAUGAGUCGAUUGAUUCUUCUGUUUUUUCUUAUGCUUCAUCUUUUUGGAAGAGAAACCACGGAUAUUUCCCUAUCAAAUCUGUAGAUUCUUCUCUGUCCUCUAAACAUCAUCAAAUGCUAUGAUCAGGAUGGUGCAUGACAGACAAACUGAUCAUUAAGUGUAAGUCAAGUAUGUUAAGAAAUGGAAGUCAUAUGUCAAAACAGGGAGCCUGAUUCUCCACUCUAAAACUCAAUCUUUUUGAACCUGAGUAGUGGAAGGUCUUAAGUAGUAUGCUAUUUUCUUCCCAUUCUGGGACACCUCCUUUGCCAUGGCUGGACUAGAAGCUCAUUAGAAUACCUUCCAUUUCUAUUUAUGUUCCACAUUCUCCAGAACCACUAGUAGGUUUUCAGGUAGCUCUGCAGGGUCAUGGUGACUCUAACCAAAAUAAGGUUGCCAUUCAUACUGAGAAUGUAACUCACAUUGAGGAGUUAGGUAGUUUCCUUACCAACCAAGGAACAAACUAGAUGCCUAAACUAGCUGCUAAUUAUUGUCUUUGGAGGAGAAAUAAUGCCACAUGAAAAUCUAUUCCUGGAAGAAAUAACUACAUUAAAAAUAAGACAAUUGUUUUUAAAAAAUACUUCCUCAGUUCUAUGUUAGACAUUGUAGGAGAUAAGGCCCUGGAGAGGCCAAAAGCAACAGCAGUGUCUUCUAUCCAGCCCAGUCCCCCAAACCACAGACCAAGCUAAAGAGAGCAAUCCAGGGGGAUACAAAAUUAGCCAGAAACAAUAUAGCUAAAAUGCAUCACACAGCUUAGAACGAGGCAAUCUGGGACAAAGGGGUCAAAGACCUUGAAGGUUACUUGUGAAGCAGAUUCAUUACUAAGGGAAAACAUACUCAGGUAAGUUGUUCAAAAAUGGGUAAAAAGAUGCUAACUGUGGCAAAAUGAGUCUGCUUCUAAAAUAACAGUGCAGAUGUAGACUGCGAUGAACUCCAGGAAGACAGAAGAACCAAUGGAGUCAAUCCAUUAAUUUAACUUGUAUUCUUUGCUAGAGGGUGGCAGAGUUGACAGCUGUUGAAAAAAAUGGGCCUAUAAGGUGGACUCGCAAUUAUUAGCUUCAAAGUGAACUAACCCACAAUUGUAUUCAUGAUGAUCAUUAAUUUUUAUGUGUGCAUGAAAGAUGGCCCUGCUUUAAGCUGUGUAGAGUUGUUUCCAAGCUGACAAGCUUGGAAGCCUUGUUCAUUAAUUACUCUAAAUUCCUAUGGAUGGAUAAAAGACCUCCAGAGGUCUGAGUUGUUAAAGGCCCCCACUGAAGGAAAUACAGACUAUACAUAAAGGAGUCAUUCUGAGUUCAAGGGGCCCUCCCACGGCGUAUCAAUUCCUCCCAAAUAUUUUUGGGGGUAAAUGAAACAUUAUAAAGUGAAUUUAAUCAUUUUUGGAAACAUUAAUUAUAAAGCAUUUUAUAUCAUUAGGCAAGCAUCCCCCUGAAUGGCUAUGAAAUAUUUUACCUCUGAAAGUUGAAACAUUUAGCUUGAAUAAAACUUGACAUUAAAAAAGUUAUGAUUAGACUGGUUCAUUGAUAUAUAUUUGGAGAUCAGACAUUUACAAGGACAUAAGUGUAUACAGUACCUGCAAACACACAGACACAGCACAUGAAGGUACAAACACAUUUAGUUAUUUUCACAUAAUUCCCAAGAGAACAUGCAAUGCUAAAUUGGCUUGAUAUUAUACAGAUGCAAUUUUGGAAUAUUUACUUUUAGUUUUCCAAAUGAUCUUUAUAAAUCAAAGUUAUAUUUCCUGAUCAAUAUUAACAAACAUUUUCACAUGGUGGCCUUGCCAUGACAACUUGCCCCUUACAAAUUAAAUAUGCUGUAUCAACAUUUGGCUCUGAAAAAUGUUUAACAUUUUAUUUGGGGGGCUUAUCAUAUUUUAAUGUUUAAUAUUUUAAAUGCAUAUUUCCCCAUAUUCCAAGUAAUGCAUCUUUAUAUUUUUGCAAAGAAUAUUGUAAAGUUCACCACACCAACAGCAGAGAAAAUUUAGAGAGUGAUAUUUUCAUUUUUUCUUUAUAAUGCUGUUAAUCCGAUUUUUUAAAGCCAGCCCAUUUGUUUAACACUAGGUACCUGUUACAAUACAUUAGAUUCGUCUGAGAAUGUUCGUAAAAGAAGAGGUCUGACUGAAGGUCUGGCGGAUAAUGAGUCAGAUGCCCUUCUACAGCUCAGAUUUCUCUGUAAUAGUGAGGCAAAGAUACUUAAAGCAUUUGAAAAUUGGUUAACCUACCUGGUGAUUAUAUAUUUAAAAAAAGGUAAAAGAAAAAAAUCAUUUCCUAUAGACUACUCCUCUGGCCAAAAGUACAAAUGAUUACACUAUAUAGUAAAUGUAUAACAUUCAAAUGAAUACAUUCAAAGGCCUAAGAAAGUCUCCAACUCGAAUUGUUUUUGUGGUAGAAGUAAACAGACAACAGUAGUAUGUAGUAAACUUGGGUUUUUGGAAUGGCACUGGUAAGUAAUAUGGUAAGAUGAGUCAAUAUGGUUUGAUUAGUAAACCUUACCAUCCUUUUGGUGAACACCUCUGAGAGUUGUGCCGGUGCCGUAUUAUCAAACAAAGAGAAAUUUGUGCAAAACAUUCCUGUCCUGGUGAACAGACUAGCUCUAACACGCCAUGGCCACUGCAUACCGUGGAUCAAUGAAGACUACAGACCCGUAGUCCAAGCUUUUAAAAAUUACUUCCUCUCCAGUGUGACAAUUUGGAAGGUGAACACAUGAUUAAAAGAAAAUGACAAAAUACUCUAAGCAUCAAUAGAAGAUAUAAAAUGAGUCAUGAGAAGUAAUUUUUCAUAAAGAAUUAGAAAAUGGUGUCAGGCAAAUGAGAAUGCAAGCAAGUUGGUACAUUAAGAAAGGAAAUCACCUUAUUCACUCCAAGAGAAACUGUGAUUGCUGGAAGUUUGAGAAAGCAUGAAGAUAGCAGAUGUUCCUGAGGAAGGGAGGCGUUUCGUUACCUUGUUCACAAUUGCACAAAAGGUGGAAAAUUGCAGUAGAAAAAAGAGAAAUGCAGAAACCAAAAAAAAAAAAAAAGUAAAUAAUCUCUCAAAUGUAAGACAUUUAAAAAGAAAACUUGAGAAUUCGAAGCCGAAAUGAUAUGUUAGUUUUGAAGACAUUAUUUUCUGAAGUAAAAGCAGAGUCAGAGAUAGGAAUAGUCUAUUAUUACGUGCCAACUACUAUUUCUCUACAUAUCAAUUUGAAAUUAUUUUGUUAAUGGGAAAAUUGACUAUUUUAAAUAAAAUAGCUUUAAAAUAUGCUUCUCGUUAAAAUAAGACUUAUCUCUAAUCAUUAAUUCACUAUCCUACAUUUGUUCAAAAUCCAUUGGUCAAAGAGUUAUGUCCAGGGUCCAUUGCCAAUCACCAAUCUAUCUUGAAGUAAUUAUCUCCCCUAUGCAACUGUACAGAUACACUAUGAAGGGACUGACUGCUCUUAAGCAGUUGCAGGAUAAAAACUUAAUCAAAAAUAACAAUGGGAAAACAUUUGGUGAUACCACAUUUCAGUCCCAUUUGCCUCUGACCAAUGCUUAACUUCCUUUCUUACAACCUAAUUUGAUUGGUUUCCCUGUUUUUCCUACAGAGUCCUCUUUAGAAAGAUAGGCUAAAUUUUACCUGGGUAAGGUAUUAUUUUUUUUCCCCUUAAAACACCCAGAAAAGUGAAAAUGGAUAAAGUUUAACUGGCAAACCUAAGGUUAUUUUUUUCCUUCUGAUUCUGUGCCUGAAAUUAUAAGGUAAUUUACAGACUCAGUUUUGGCAUUGCCCAAGCAAAACAGAAGAUGAGUGGUCAACAAUGUGGAUGACUUGAACAACUCUGCUAAUAAAGAUUACCCAUAUUGUCUACUUAGUGACCUAAAAUGGGCUUAGAAAAAGAAACCAGCUAAAGUAACAUUUGUUUCCAGAAGAUUCUAAUAAACAAUUAAACUUUCAAAGGUAAAUAAUUUAUUCAUGUUUUGACAACUACAUUUUUUCUUGUUUUUACCUUAAAUGAAGAAAGUUGGUGGAAUGAAGAAAGUUGAUAGACAUAUUGAUAGAAUGCAAAUUACCAAUUGAUAAAGCUAGAGAAUAUUUAGAUUCUGAGAAAAAGAUUUUAAUUGUUUCUAUCUUCUAUUUUAUGGGCAAAAACCCUGCGACAAGAUCAGCAUGAUACCAAGUUCCCCACCCCCGUGUUUAAUGCACAAACCUAUCUAUUCAAGACUGCAACUGUAAGCACGUUUUGGUGUGCUCAAACACUUGUAUCCAACCAUCGGAGAUAAAAGUAUUUCUAUGAAGCAGAAAUAUUAGGAGUUAAUAGAUUAGGUGUUAAAACUACUUUAUAAAGGAAAUGAAAGUACAGAAAGCAGGAGAAAGCAUGGAAAGAGUAACUAAAGCAAUAAAAAAAUUGAUAUAGCUAGCAACCGGCAGUGGGGUGGGGUAAACAGGAGAUAAUGAGCUAAAACAGAAUGAAAUUUCCACAUUCCUUUGCAGUCAUCUAGAGAGCUUUGACACCAGCUCAAUUAGCAGUAUGUCAAAGAGGCCAAUGGAUAAAGGCCCAUCUCAACAGCCACGACAUUAGGAUUAAACUUUAUUUUUGUCUAAUCCAGCUAACAGGGCUAUUGCCCUGUGAACCCAUGGUUGUAUAUGACACUGUAAGAAUCAUAAUAGUAAUCAUCAUUAUUAUAAUGAUUAACUAUAUUCUCCAAAAUUUCCAAAAUGCUUUCUCUGGGACUUUGGCUCAGACAGUUGACAUUCUUCCCUUCCCUGUCUACCACUCUGAAAGAGUUCUCUACAUAAUGGAAUAUUUCUUCCUGUUUGUGCUGACAUCCCAUGCUAAGCACGGCCAUGUUGCUGGGUGCAUUCCCAUUAAAUUAUAGUCUUCCUUUGUCAAGCUUCAGCGAAGUUAAGCCUCCUUUUUGAUUGUGGUGACUUACAUGAGAAAACUUCACACAGGAUAUGUGGAAAUUUCUCCAUUGGAAAUGUGAAAUGGUAUUUGCUACUUGGCCAGAAACUCCAGAUAUAUUUCAUUGAUUUACAGACAGCCAAUGACUGUGCUUAGGGGGGACACAACUUUUUGAAAUACAAAAAUCCUAUACUUGACCUUUCCUUGAGGUGUUAUCCUGCUGUUUCACUGUUCAGUGCUCAAUGGUAGUUUCAUCAUAUACCCUCAACAGCAUUGCUAUGCAGCUUUGUCACUUCAUAAAGCUAAAGAAAAGCUCUAGGAUCCUUAAUAACGGAACUUUGGGGAAAAAAAUUAACCUCAUUGCUAAAAAUACAGCUGAUGGAUACAUGGCUUAACUACAACCCUUGAGUUAAACAACUGAGAGAACCUACAUUUGAAGAUACUGGAAUUCUUUCUAAUACUAGCAUUAUGACAGAACUCAGUUGCAGUGGAGGCUGCCAUACUAGCGAUUUUACUGGAGGUUUCAGGAGGUAGUGACUUGAAAUAGCUCAAUUGUGUUAAAACAAGCCACAUCACUGAUUCUGCUAUUCUGUUUAAUACCUGCUUACAGAAGUAUUCCAUAUGAAUGCUCCUUAUAACCAGAGUGAGAGCUGCUUGUGAGCUAGGGCCACAUCUGAUUCAUCCCUGAAUUACCAACACCUAGUACAGUAGCUAACUCAUAGUGGGCCCUCAGGCAAGGUAUGCUGAAUUGAACAGAAUUCAGCAUAAGGUUGCUCUUAUAAUUGUUAAAUAUAAAUAGCUUAGCUUCUUUCUCAAAUGCCAUAGAGACAUUUUCACUACACACUGCUAAGUCCCCUUCUCAAAGCAGCUGCCAAGACCCACAUAAGAACAGCACUGGCAGCUGACCUGCCACAUUUCUGGCUGUGUACAUAAAGUGUCCACGAUACUUAUUGGUUGAAGUCAGGGAUUCUUCUACUCUAGGUAGAGACACACAUUUGACCACAUCGGGGGAUCUAUCAGGAUAUGGGGCAGACCCAGUAUCUUUUGCCUCUCUUUAAAAUGAGGCCAAUGUCUUAGCAAGGAAUACAGAACAAAGUAGGAAAUCACACAGAGUGUCAGACUGUUGGUCACUGAGCAUAAAGACUAAAAUAUUUGGGGGAAAAUAACAUACUCUUUCUCCCUUAUCUUAGAAGUUGGCCUCCACCUCUUUGAUAUAGCCAAAUAGGGCCUUAUAUAAACAGAUGUGAUUUAUCAGAAUAGCCAUGGCUGCCAUGUUGCAGUAGGCCUCUAUGCAUUCAUAUUGCACUACUUUGCUCUUGCAUUUUCUCAUAAGAAAAAAAAAAAAGAGGCAGCACUGCUGAGUGCCCACAACAUUUUGCCUCAUUUGCGACUCCUGAAAUCCCAGAGUCUGAAAAACCAUCUAGCCUUUCAGACAUUGGAUGUAAAGAGAGAUGUUCAUCAGUAGGUGGUUCAACAAAUGUUUAUUGGUUCAACAAGGGUAGGAAUAAAUGAAUGAAUGAUUGCAUGAAUGAAAAUGAUUAUGGAAAUUUUCCUGGUUGUUCUAGCAUAUCAGCAUGCCAAGCCAUAGCACAGACACUAGAAUUCUUCCUACGCUGGACAUAACCCAUAACAAAUUUCAUGCUAAACCCCUGGCAACAGUCUAUGCUGCUAAGUAAAAAAGGACGCAGUCCCAGAACUCCGUACUUUCAACAGAAGUUCAGAAUCUGUUCGUGUGAAAAAAAAAAAUGUUCUAAGUCUUUAUCUGUGACUGCUUAGUAGCAUCCCACAAUUUAAUGGUCUAUGUAACAGUCACCUCCAGCCAAUGUCUAACUUUUUUGAGAGGGCCUAAUAAGGAAGAAGAUAAGAUGACAUGUUUGAAAGUUUUGUUUUCUGAGAUUUUUCUAUCAUCUUUAGACCAUGUAGCUGGGUGUGAGUCAUUAUUUAAAAUGAGCUCCAUUACCUCAAAUAAGAGACACAUUUAGGAUCAUUCCAAAGUAUACUCCCAAAUAAGGAUGGAAGAGCAACUUGGAAAUCUUUCCCUGGAAAAUUCUCUAUUAUAAAAAGCCCCAAAUCAUUUCUUAUUGCAACAUUAUUUUAUUUGGUUUCAUGCAAAUUGCCACUUGAGACAUUCUGGGUGGAGUCUGUUGUAUCAAACUGUUUUAUCCCUGUUCAACCGAUAUUAAGACAUAAUCAGGUAUUUGAAUGCAACUUUUCCAUCCUAAAACACCAGACUAGAGUAAAGCAGUUGUAACUAAGCUAACAUUACUGUGUUCAGUUUCAGCCCAUAAGACAUGUAGAAAGCAGGGAGUUAAGGGCAAUUCUGGCCACCUAAUUACACACUGACUGGCCUUGUAUAUGAAGAAUCAAUGUACCCUAUGACAGUUCUCUUGUUUUUGAUUGGGGCUGACACUGACUUGCGACAUGAAUCUCCUCUUUUACAAUUCUAAUCACUGAAGGUUUUCCUACUCUAAUCAUUUCAGAUCCCCAUGUCUAUGUAAUAUCAACUACUGGAUUCUAUCAAUUCAACAGGCAAAAACAAAAUCAUGAUGUAACAGUUUUGUGGCUAAACUGGUUGACAAAUUUAUCAAAUAAGUCAGGUAGUCAUAGCUUAGAAUAUUACCUGAAAAUACUGCCUUGGAGGUGCUACAAGAUCUAGUUGGUGUCAAUAUGACAGAAACAGUUUUGUUUAAUAAAAUCAGCUACUGUUGGCAGGAAUAUGACAUAUUUAAUUAGCCUGUUGGUCAAAAUCUGCCAAAAGUUUUAUUUUCCAUGCUCAUCUCCCUAUUUCGCUUUAAAGGCUUUUUAAAAAAUGUUUAAAAGAUAUCAUAAUGAGGCAGCAGAAAAAAUAACUUCUCAUUCCCACAGGAAAUUUACAAUUUAAUAGGAAAAAUAAAAACACACUCAUAAAACUAUCUUGAAUUUUUACGAGUGUGUUCCAGAGGCUAAGGAUGUCAAAACCACAUCCAGGGAAUUCUCUUUGGUUCAAAUAUACUGCUGGACAGACAGGGCUAGAAGCAACGCAGAGAUUAAGCAGCACUAUAAUUAAAGGAAGGGGAAAGGUUUGAAAGAGGCAAAUUGGUAUUAUCAACUGAAAAAAAUCUGCAAACAGCCCACAGGGAAAUUUCUAAGUUUAAAGCGAAAAUGUUGGUGUGGAAAUUCCUGGUGUGAAAAUUCUAGGCUAAAUACAAAAUAAAAUAAUUUUUUCCUUUUAAAAUUCCAUAUGGAGCAUAUGAGAUACUCCAUAUGGAUUGCCGAAGGUCACAUAGAACACUAUUAAGGAAUCUACUUACCACCUGCAUUGGAUAACGAAGUUUUUACUAUACUUUUUAUGCAGAAGAGGAAAUUAAGUGAUGAACCUGUAAGGAGGGGUUUAACAUGCUGUAACUAAUGUAAUUUUCUAAAUCAGGUUUUUAGCUCAUGGCAGAUAUUGAGGCCCCUUCCAAAAAUCAGGUUGUAAGAUAAACUUAGUUCUUACCCUGGCACUUCUUCUUCUUACAUUCUUUAAUACUAUCAGAAGAAUCUCAGGGAACAGGCUGAUAAAUAUUAGAAGAAUUAUAGCCAA